UACGUAGGGUGCAAGCGUUGUCCGGAAUUAUUGGGCGUAAAGAGCGUGUAGGCGGCCCGACCAGUCCGCUGUGAAAGUCCAGGGCUCAACCCUGGAAUGCCGGUGGAUACUGUCGGGCUAGAGUCCGGAAGGGGCGAGUGGAAUUCCUGGUGUAGCGGUGAAAUGCGCAGAUAUCGGGAGGAACACCGGUGGCGAAGGCGGUUCUCUGGGCCUUACCUGACGCUGAGGAGCGAAAGCGUGGGGAGCGAACAGG
rnacentral:rRNA from 1 species